rnacentral:rRNA from 1 species
AACGAACGUUGGCGGCGUGGAUUAGGCAUGCAAGUCGCGGGAAUCCCAGCAAUGGGGGAACCGGCGUAAGGGACAGUAAUGCGUGGGUACCUACCUUGGGAUCCGGGAUAGCCGUCCGAGAGGGCGGGUAAUACCGGAUGAUCUCGAGAGAGCAAAGCUCCGGCGUCCCGAGAGGGGCCCACGUGAUAUUAGCUAGUUGGCGGGGUGACGGCCCACCAAGGCGGAGAUGUCUAGCGGGUGUGAGAGCACGACCCGCGCCACUCGCACUGAGACACUGGCGAGACACCUACGGGUGGCUGCAGUCGAGGAUCUUCGGCAAUGCGCGCAAGCGCGACCGAGCGACGCCGCGUGGGCGAUGAAGGCCUCGGUUGUAAGCCUGUCGAGGGGAGGAAAGGGUAACGAACUUUGAUCUAUCCCUCGGAGGAAGACGUCGGGCGUAAGUUCGUGCCAGCAGCCGCGGUAA